rnacentral:rRNA from 1 species
GAUGAACGCUGGCGGCGUGCCUAAUACAUGCAAGUCGAGCGAACGGACGAGAAGCUUGCUUCUCUGAUGUUAGCGGCGGACGGGUGAGUAACACGUGGAUAACCUACCUAUAAGACUGGGAUAACUUCGGGAAACCGGAGCUAAUACCGGAUAAUAUUUUGAACCGCAUGGUUCAAAAGUGAAAGACGGUCUUGCUGUCACUUAUAGAUGGAUCCGCGCUGCAUUAGCUAGUUGGUAAGGUAACGGCUUACCAAGGCAACGAUGCAUAGCCGACCUGAGAGGGUGAUCGGCCACACUGGAACUGAGAAACGGUCCAGACUCCUACGGGAGGCAGCAGUAGGGAAUCUUCCGCAAUGGGCGAAAGCCUGACGGAGCAACGCCGCGUGAGCGAUGAAGGUCUUCGGAUCGUAAAACUCUGUUAUUAGGGAAGAACAGAUGUGUAAGUAACUGUGCACAUCUUGACGGUACCUAAUCAGAAAGCCACGGCUAACUACGUG